UACAGGGGGGCAAGCGUUGUUCGGAAUUACUGGGCGUAAAGGGUCUGUAGGUGGCCAACUAAGUCAGACGUGAAAUCCCUCAGCUUAACUGGGAACUGCGUCUGAUACUGGAUGGCUUGAGUGUGGGAGAGGAAUGCGGAAUUCCAGGUGUAGCGGUGAAAUGCGUAGAUAUCUGGAGGAACACCGGUGGCGAAGGCGGCAUUCUGGACCAUAACUGACACUGAGAGACGAAAGCCAGGG
rnacentral:rRNA from 1 species